rnacentral:tRNA from 1 species
AUAUAUGUAGUAUAUAUAUUGUACUAAAAUCUCUUACUUUUUUUAUAUAUAUAUAUAUAUAUU